AUGCGGUAGGUAUCGAGGAGGAACACCAGUGGCGAAGGCGAGUCCCUGGACAACUCCUGACUCUGAGGCACGAAAGCUAGGGGAGCAAACAGGAUUAGAUACCUGGUAGUCCUAGCCGUAAACGGUGCAUGUUUGCUGUAAAAGGAAUCGACCCCUUUUGUGGCGUAGCCAACGCGAUAAACAUGCCGCCUGGGAAGUACGGUCGCAAGAUUAAAACUCAAAGAAAUUGACGGGGGCCUGCACAAGCGGUGGAGUAUGUGGCUCAAUUCGAUGCAACGCGAAGAACCUUACCUGGCCUUGACAUGUACGUAGUAGAAGGGUGAAAGCCUGACGAGUCCGCAAGGACAGCGCACACAGGUGCUGCAUGGCUGACGUCAGCUCGUGUCGUGAGAUGUUGGGCUAAGUCCCGCAACGAGCGCAACCCCUGUGUCCUGUUGCCACCCUGAUGAAAGUCGGGAGCACUCUGGACAGACUGCCUCGCUUAAACGAGGAGGAAGGUGGGGAUGACGUCAAGUCAGUAUGGCCCUUACGGCCAGGGCUGCACACGUACUACGAUGCCCGGCACAAAGGGAAGCAAGAUCGUAAGAUGGAGCAAAUCCCCAAAAACCGGGCCCAGUUCGGAUUGUCGUCUGCAACUCGACGGCAUGAAGCUGGAAUCGCUAGUAAUGGCGCAUCAGCUACGGCGCCGUGAAUACGUUCCCAGGCCUUGUACACACCGCCCGUCACAUCAUGAAAGCCGUUUGUACCCGAAGUCGCCGUGUUAACCGCAAGGAGACAGGCGCCGAAGGUAUGGAUGGUGAUUGGGAUGAAGUCGUAACAAGGUAACCA
rnacentral:rRNA from 1 species